rnacentral:rRNA from 1 species
UACGUAGGGUCCGAGCGUUGUCCGGAAUUAUUGGGCGUAAAGGGCUCGUAGGUGGUUUGUCGCGUUGUUCGUGAAAUCUCACGGCUUAACUGUGAGCGUGCGGGCGAUACGGGCAGACUAGAGUACUGCAGGGGAGACUGGAAUUCCUGGUGUAGCGGUGGAAUGCGCAGAUAUCAGGAGGAACACCGGUGGCGAAGGCGGGUCUCUGGGCAGUAACUGACGCUGAGGAGCGAAAGCGUGGGGAGCGAACAGG